UUUCCAGCCAGUUGACUAAGAAAGAGUUCUAAUAGUAUUAUGAGUUUUUAUUUGCUUCUGUGUUAUGAUGGAUCCUGUGUUCUACCUGGAAUCCAAAAGUUCAGUGACACAUCACAUAUAAAUAGCAUAUGCCAACUCUAGUCUUUAAAUGAAAUCUUUCCUUUUCCUCUUCUGCCUCACUGUCCACACUCCAGCAUAAAAGCAGAGAGGAUUAAUAAUAUCAAAAAUAAUAUCCGCUAGCAUUUAUUGUAGGCAUACUAUGUUCUAGUCAUUGCACUGAGCACAUUCUGUGUAUUUUAUUAUUUAACUCCCACUAGUUUUCCCAUUUCAUGCCUAGGACUAAGAAAUUCAAGUGACUUGUCCAGAGAAAAAGAGCUGUUAAAAGGUGGAACCUGGCCUGAGGACUCCAAACCGUCUCCUGCCUACCCCCAGGAAGGACACCCUCUGCAGCCAUAUUGGCCAAAUGUUGUUUCCUUGCCUAGAUGUGAAUUGAGACCUCUCCAAAUUCCAAAGCACCACCCUCACUCAAAGCAUCUGUAAGUAUUGAAUUGAAAAGGGUUUUCACUGAGUAGAGAGUGACUUGAGAAUAAUUUGAUUUGGGGAGAGGUUGAGUGGAGAAAAGUUUGAAUUGUACAGAGAUUAAGUUUCAUUAAGAUUGAGUUCUGCAGAGAACUAAUUGAAUAGCAUGGUAGUGGAUUUGAGUAACAUAUGGUUGGAUUAAGGGUCAUAUUUCACAUAGUAGAGUAAACAAACAAAAGUCCACAAUAAAUUCUCCAGAAUCCUUUUGGGCCCCUCCU
rnacentral:lncRNA from 1 species